AGUGAACGCUGACGGCGUGCUUAACACAUGCAAGUCGAACGAGAACGGAAUAUAGCUUGCUAUAUUUGUCAGCUAAGUGGCGCACGGGUGAGUAAUGUAUAGAUAACCUGCCCUUAAGAAAGGAAUAACAGUUGUAAACGACUGCUAAUGCCCUAUAUGCCUUUAAUACAUAAGUAUGCAAGGGAAACGCUUUAGUGCUUAAGGAUGGGUCUGUAUGGUAUCAGCUUGUUGGUGAGGUAAUGGCUCACUAAGGCUAUGACGCCUAACUGGUUUGAGAGGAUGAUCAGUCACACUGGAAUUGAGACACGGUCCAGACUCCUACGGGAGGCAGCAGUGGGGAAUAUUGCACAAUGGACGAAAGUCUGAUGCAGCAACGCCGCGUGGAGGAUGACACAUUUCGGUGCGUAAACUCCUUUUAUAUAGGAAGAUAAUGACGGUACUAUAUGAAUGAGCACCGGCUAACUACGUGCCAGCCGCCGCCGUAA
rnacentral:rRNA from 1 species